rnacentral:rRNA from 1 species
CCUACGGGAGGCAGCAGUAGGGAAUCUUUCACAAUGGGCGAAAGCCUGAUGGAGCAACGCCGCGUGCAGGAUGAAGGCCUUCGGGUUGUAAACGGCUUUUAUAAGCGAGAAAUAUGAUGGUAACUUAUGAAUAAGGAUCGGCUAACUACGUGCCAGCAGCCGCGGUCAUACGUAGGAUCCGAGCAUUAUCCGGAGUGACUGGGUGUAAAGAGUUGCGUAGGUGACAUAAUAAGUAGCUAGUGAAAUCUGGUGGCUCAACCAUUCAGACUAUUAGCUAAACUGUUAAGCUCGAGACCGUUAGGGGUAACUGGAAUUUCUAGUGUAGGAGUGAAAUCCGUAGAUAUUAGAAGGAACACCAAUAGCGUAGGCAGGUUGCUGGGACGGUUCUGACACUAAGGCACGAAAGCGUAGGGAGCAAACGGGAUUAGAUACCCCGGUAGUC